rnacentral:tRNA from 1 species
ACGUCCUUAGCUCAACUGGCAGAGCGCUGGUCUCCAAAACCAGAGGUUGAUCGUUCGAUUCGAUCAGGACGUGCCA